rnacentral:lncRNA from 1 species
GUAGUUUGGAUAAUUUUUUCAUUUUCAAAAUAGAAGUACACGAAUAAUUAUUAUUUAUUAUUAUAUAUAAUUCAUUUUAUUAUUAUUGUUUUCUUUCUUUUUUAUGAACGGAACACAAAGGGAGAACUAAUUUCUCCUUGGACACGCGGUACUCGGUCGUCGGAGUCACCACACACAUAGCCACGCACGUCAUUGAAGUUGCCAUGUGCCGUUGCACGCACCACCAUCGGGUUCAGUACGCUCUGCUGCACGCACCGUCACGCUUUGACCGUAAACACCAUAGAAACCUCCUGCACUUGCCAAAGUGAACAGGAGAGGCAAGUUGAGGCUGCGUUGCGCACAUAUUUGGAAGGAUCGUGUGCAAAUUCUUCGUGCCAAGCACUAGAAGCGGAUUUGUUUUCCUUCGGGCAGAUCUAAGCUAAUGCACCAACCUUUUGUUUUCGAUCGUGGGCAACUGUGCUCCUUAUGCUCAAAUCCAGUCGGCACACACACAGAUCUGUCUUGUCGCUCGCCACAGCUUCGAUCUUCUUCUAUAGUCAGUCGACCACAUCUCUUUUCCUAUUCUUCUUCUUCAUUUUUUCUUGAUCUUCUUUUUCUUAUUCAUCUUCUUACUUUUUUCUUUUUUUCUUUUCCUUUCUCCGUUGCCUGACUCUCCUUUGGGUUUAAAACUUCCCCUUAUUUAUUUAUUACAUUUUUUUUUGUCAUUACAUUAAUUAUCUUGAUCUCCUACGUAAAUAUUCCAUUUAUAAUUUAAUUCUACCGUAUAAGAUAUGGACAGAGGUUUAACAUUUGAUUAGAGAGAUGAACUCUUAAUGAGUUGCUCAGUCGUGUUGUCUCUAAGCAACUACUAUCAAGCUCUUUAACCUAAUCAAACUUCCUUUUUUGUAAGUAUCAUAUGAACUCAUGAGAAAAUAUAUAUCUAAUAAUGAUUAAUUCAAGCCAAAAGGUUGUGUUGAAAGUGAAAACUAGGAGAUGCGCUUGAUAAUGGGGAUUGAAAAUAGGCCUGUAAAUAACAAUCAGCGGAUUAUGAAGAUGUAAGGCAAGAGAGAAUUAAAAAGAACAAUGAGCCAGUUAAAGAAGAGGCAAUGUUGCCUUUAUGUGUGUAGUAGUUGUGUGCUUCUAGCACAUAAUUUUGUUGGAGUUGAAACAUUUAAAAAUAAUAAUAAUA